AGAGUUUGAUCCUGGCUCAGGACGAACGCUGGCGGCGUGCUUAACACAUGCAAGUCGAACGGGGUCCAUGCAGCUUGCUGCGGAAGACCUAGUGGCGAACGGGUGCGUAACACGUGAGGAACCUGCCCCGGUCUCUGGAAUAACAGGUGGAAACAUCUGCUAAUACCGGAUGCCGUCUGGGUGUCGCCUGGCAACCAGACGAAAGAUUUAUCGGACCGGGAGGGCCUCGCGGCCUAUCAGCUUGUUGGUGAGGUAACGGCUCACCAAGGCAUCGACGGGUAGCUGGUCUGAGAGGAUGAUCAGCCACACUGGGACUGAGACACGGCCCAGACUCCUACGGGAGGCAGCAGUGGGGAAUCUUGCACAAUGGGCGCAAGCCUGAUGCAGCAACGCCGCGUGCGGGAAGAAGGCCCUAGGGUUGUAAACCGCUUUUAGCAGGGAAGAAACUGACGGUACCUGCAGAAAAAGGUGCGGCCAACUACGUGCCAGCAGCCGCGGUGACACGUAGGCACCAAGCGUUGUCCGGAUUUAUUGGGCGUAAAGAGCUCGUAGGCGGUUCGGUAAGUCGGGUGUGAAAACUCUGGGCUCAACCCAGAGCCGCCACCCGAUACUGCUGUGACUUGAGUUCGGUAGGGGAGCGGGGAAUUCCUGGUGUAGCGGUGAAAUGCGCAGAUAUCAGGAGGAACACCAGUGGCGAAGG
rnacentral:rRNA from 1 species